AGAAUCAACGCUGGCGGCGUGCCUAACACAUGCAAGUCGAACGCGAAAGUCCCGAAAGGGGCAAGUAGAGUGGCAAACGGGUGAGUAACACGUGGGUGACCUGCCUUCGAGCGGGGGAUAACGUCCCGAAAGGGACGCUAAUACCGCAUAACAUCCUGCCUUUGAAGAGGUGGAGGUCAAAGCUGGGGAUCGCAAGACCCGGCACUUGAAGAGGGGCCCGCGUCUGAUUAGCUAGUUGGUGGGUAACGCUACCAAGGCAACGAUCAGUA
rnacentral:rRNA from 1 species